rnacentral:rRNA from 1 species
AUUGAACGCUGGCGGCAUGCCUAACACAUGCAAGUCGAACGAGUCGCGUACGGGUGGUUAAUGUCUGGGACCAUGCCUGAGGGAGGGGUACACCUAAUGGAAACGGUAACUAAUACCGCAUACCAUCAGAUGUGCCCAGGUGGGAUUAGCUAGUUGGUGGGGUAACGGCUCACCAAGGCGACGAGCCGUAGCUGGUCUGCGAGGAUGACCAGCCACACUGGAACUGAGACACGGUCCAGACUCCUACGGGAGGCAGCAGUGGGGAAUAUGGGACAAGGGGGGCAACCCUGAUGCAGCCAUGCCGAGUGUGCGAAGAAGGCCUUCGGGUUGUAAAGCACUUUCGGCGGGGAAGCGUUACCUGCAGAAUAAGCACCGGCUAACUACGUGCCAGCAGCCGCGGUAAUUC